rnacentral:rRNA from 1 species
AACGAACGCUGGCGGCAUGCCUAACACAUGCAAGUCGAACGAGAUCUUCGGGUCUAGUGGCGCACGGGUGCGUAACGCGUGGGAAUCUGCCCUUGGGUUCGGAAUAACUUCGGGAAACUGAAGCUAAUACCGGAUGAUGACGUAAGUCCAAAGAUUUAUCGCCCAAGGAUGAGCCCGCGUAGGAUUAGCUAGUUGGUGAGGUAAAGGCUCACCAAGGCGACGAUCCUUAGCUGGUCUGAGAGGAUGAUCAGCCACACUGGGACUGAGACACGGCCCAGACUCCUACGGGAGGCAGCAGUGGGGAAUAUUGGACAAUGGGCGAAAGCCUGAUCCAGCAAUGCCGCGUGAGUGAUGAAGGCCUUAGGGUUGUAAAGCUCUUUUGCCCGGGAUGAUAAUGACAGUACCGGGAGAAUAAGCUCCGGCUAACUCCGUGCCAGCAGCCGCGGUAAAGUGACUACUG